UAAAAAAAGGUAAGCUACUAAGAGCGAAUGGUGGAUGCCUUGACUGGUAAAGGCGAUGAAGGACGUACUAGACUGCGAUAAGCUACGGGGAGCUGUCAAGAAGCUUUGAUCCGUAGAUUUCCGAAUGGGGCAACCCAAUGUAUAGAGAUAUACAUUACCUAUAUAGGAGCGAACGAGGGGAAUUGAAACAUCUUAGUACCCUCAGGAAAAGAAAUCAAUAGAGAUUGCGUCAGUAGCGGCGAGCGAAAGCGCAAGAGGGCAAACCCAGUGCUUGCACUGGGGGUUGUAGGACUGCAAUGUGCAAGAGGUAAGUUUAGCAGAACAUUCUGGAAAGUAUAACCAUAGAGGGUGAUAGUCCCGUAUGCGAAAAACAAACCUUAGCUAGCAGUAUCCUGAGUAGGGCGGGACACGAGGAAUCCUGUCUGAAUCCGGGUCGACCACGAUCCAACCCUAAAUACUAAUACCAGAUCGAUAGUGCACAAGUACCGUGAGGGAAAGGUGAAAAGAACUGAGGUGAUCAGAGUGAAAUAGAACCUGAAACCAUUUGCUUACAAUCAUUCAGAGCCCUAUGUAGCAAUACAGGGUGAUGGACUGCCUUUUGCAUAAUGAGCCUGCGAGUUGUGGUGUCUGGCAAGGUUAAGCAAACGCGAAGCCGUAGCGAAAGCGAGUCUGAAUAGGGCGCUUAGUCAGAUGCUGCAGACCCGAAACGAAGUGAUCUAUCCAUGAGCAAGUUGAAGCUAGUGUAAGAACUAGUGGAGGACUGAACCAUAGGCGUUGAAAAGCCCCGGGAUGACUUGUGGAUAGGGGUGAAAGGCCAAUCAAACUUCGUGAUAGCUGGUUCUCUCCGAAAUAUAUUUAGGUAUAGCGUUGUGUCGUAAUAUAAGGGGGUAGAGCACUGAAUGGGCUAGGGCAUACACCAAUGUACCAAACCCUAUCAAACUCCGAAUACCUUAUAUGUAAUCACAGCAGUCAGGCGGCGAGUGAUAAAAUCCGUCGUCAAGAGGGAAACAACCCAGACUACCAGCUAAGGUCCCUAAGUCUUACUUAAGUGGAAAACGAUGUGAAGUUACUUAAACAACCAGGAGGUUGGCUUAGAAGCAGCCAUCCUUUAAAGAAAGCGUAAUAGCUCACUGGUCUAGUGAUUUUGCGCGGAAAAUAUAACGGGGCUAAAGUAAGUACCGAAGCUGUAGACUUAGUUUACUAAGUGGUAGGAGAGCGUUCUAUUUGCGUCGAAGGUAUACCGGUAAGGAGUGCUGGAGCGAAUAGAAGUGAGCAUGCAGGCAUGAGUAGCGAUAAUUAAUGUGAGAAUCAUUAACGCCGUAAACCCAAGGUUUCCUACGCGAUGCUCGUCAUCGUAGGGUUAGUCGGGUCCUAAGUCGAGUCCGAAAGGGGUAGACGAUGGCAAAUUGGUUAAUAUUCCAAUACCAACAUUAGUGUGCGAUGGAAGGACGCUUAGGGCUAAGGGGGCUAGCGGAUGGAAGUGCUAGUCUAAGGUCGUAGGAGGUUAUACAGGCAAAUCCGUAUAACAAUACUCCGAGAACUGAAAGGCUUUUUGAAGUCUUCGGAUGGAUAGAAGAACCCCUGAUGCCGUCGAGCCAAGAAAAGUUUCUAAGUUUAGCUAAUGUUGCCCGUACCGUAAACCGACACAGGUGGGUGGGAUGAGUAUUCUAAGGCGCGUGGAAGAACUCUCUUUAAGGAACUCUGCAAAAUAGCACCGUAUCUUCGGUAUAAGGUGUGGUUAGCUUUGUAUUAGGAUUUACUCCGAAAGCAAGGAAACUUACAACAAAGAGUCCCUCCCGACUGUUUACCAAAAACACAGCACUCUGCUAACUCGUAAGAGGAUGUAUAGGGUGUGACGCCUGCCCGGUGCUCGAAGGUUAAUUGAUGGGGUUAGCAUUAGCGAAGCUCUUGAUCGAAGCCCGAGUAAACGGCGGCCGUAACUAUAACGGUCCUAAGGUAGCGAAAUUCCUUGUCGGUUAAAUACCGACCUGCAUGAAUGGCGUAACGAGAUGGGAGCUGUCUCAAAGAGGGAUCCAGUGAAAUUGUAGUGGAGGUGAAAAUUCCUCCUACCCGCGGCAAGACGGAAAGACCCCGUGGACCUUUACUACAGCUUGACACUGCUACUUGGAUAAGAAUGUGCAGGAUAGGUGGGAGGCUUUGAGUAUAUGACGCCAGUUGUAUAUGAGCCAUUGUUGAGAUACCACUCUUUCUUAUUUGGGUAGCUAACCAGCUUGAGUUAUCCUCAAGUGGGACAAUGUCUGGUGGGUAGUUUGACUGGGGCGGUCGCCUCCCAAAUAAUAACGGAGGCUUACAAAGGUUGGCUCAGAACGGUUGGAAAUCGUUCGUAGAGUAUAAAGGUAUAAGCCAGCUUAACUGCAAGACAUACAAGUCAAGCAGAGACGAAAGUCGGUCUUAGUGAUCCGGUGGUUCUGUGUGGAAGGGCCAUCGCUCAAAGGAUAAAAGGUACCCCGGGGAUAACAGGCUGAUCUCCCCCAAGAGCUCACAUCGACGGGGAGGUUUGGCACCUCGAUGUCGGCUCAUCGCAUCCUGGGGCUGGAGCAGGUCCCAAGGGUAUGGCUGUUCGCCAUUUAAAGCGGUACGCGAGCUGGGUUCAGAACGUCGUGAGACAGUUCGGUCCCUAUCUGCCGUGGGCGUAAGAAGAUUGAAGAGAUUUGACCCUAGUACGAGAGGACCGGGUUGAACAAACCACUGGUGUAGCUGUUGUUCUGCCAAGAGCAUCGCAGCGUAGCUAAGUUUGGAAAGGAUAAACGCUGAAAGCAUCUAAGCGUGAAGCCAACUCUAAGAUGAAUCUUCUCUAAGCUCUCUAGAAGACUACUAGUUUGAUAGGCUGGGUGUGUAAUGGAUGAAAGUCCUUUAGCUGACCAGUACUAAUAGAGCGUUUGGCUUAUCUUUAAUAAAGCAU
rnacentral:rRNA from 1 species